rnacentral:misc_RNA from 1 species
UGGGCCAUCAACUGCUACUGAG